rnacentral:lncRNA from 1 species
GUGGGCUUCUGGGUGUCCCCCACCUGCCCAAGCCAUAAGAUGUGGCAACAGACAUGCUUUUGGGUGCUAGGAAUGGAGACCAAUGAUUGAGCAUUCGAGACCAACAAGCUACUCACUGACCUACACCCCCAGCUCCUCAACCAGUUUUGGCUGGAAAGACUACUCUGCAUGGACACAGGAAACCUGCUGGUUGUCACCAGCCCUGGGCCUCCUUGGGCACGAACUUGGUGGAAGCUCCCACUGUCCUCAGAGGACUCUCCAUGCUGCAGGUGCCCUAGCACACCCAGGAUCUUGGGAUGACUGGUGAGUGGAAUGCAACAUCUCUUCCUUUAGGUUGGGAAAGUUUUCUUCUACGAUUUUGUUGAAGACAUUUUCAGGUCCUUUGAGCUGGG